rnacentral:lncRNA from 1 species
CAAAUCAAGACAUUUUUGUUCCUAUAAUGAACAAUACCAGCUUAAAAGACUUCAGUAGAAGACUCAAGGCUUUUCCCAAGUUGGUCAUCCCUAUCUGCUAAACUUAUCUCUCAACAUUGUCCAAAUACAGACACAGCUACAGGCAUUUUAAAAAGACAAGGGUGUAGAGAGAGGCCCCCGUUUUUUACACCUUCCUUCUCUGACAUCUUC